UCCCCAUGCCGCCGCCACCUUCUCCACCUUCCUCGUUUUCCCCAUCGAGCCAACCACCAGCUAGAUCCAUUCCAGCCCAUAGCUCCCAUUCUCCACCCUCGGAUGAAGAUGCAAGGGAUCUCCUCAUGCCAGCCAGGGCCUUCCGGUAGCUCCCGAUCUUCCGAGCACCUCCUUGCCACAUCGCGCUGGGCGACCGCCAAUGAACCAAGACCAGGCGCCAUGUGCCCGCGACCCUCGCCUGAGCCGGCGACCCCCAGCAGCAGCAGCUCGUCCGGGUCGCCUUCUCCUCCCCUGGUUUUCUCUGCUCCCUUUCUUCUCUUCUAUCUCUCUAACCUCUGGUGCUCUCUGUUUCAUGCCAUGGCGCCGUGCCUCAAUCCGCCAAGGCCACCGGAGCAAGCAUCACGUCCUUCACCUAGUACUCCCAGCGCCCGCAGCUCCUUCCCAUCGUCCUUACGCUACCUCCAGGACCCACCGAAGCCUCGACUCACUAGCAACGAGGAGCUCCUCGAGUGCCCGAGAUCUCCUGCCUCCCCGAUGCUCGUCGCCCCGAGCACGAGUGCUUCAAGCCCGGCCCUUCUACAGCUCGUCGGAGUUGAGAUGCCGUCGUCCUUUUCGACUCCCACCAUCAGGAACCGGCUCCCCUAGUCAGAUCCGGUGGAUCCCCGCCGCCGUCCGCCGCCUGCAGGCCCUGUCUCGCCACUGCUCCCUCCGUUCCUUGCGCCACCGCAUCGCCGGAGUCCAUCGCACCAAUCUGCUGGUGCUCGAACCUGCCUGCUUCCGCGCCUGCGCUCGCCUCCAGAGGAAGAGUCAACGCACGAGCAUCUCGCGCGUGUACCAGAUCCAGUGUACCGGCCCAGCCUCCCGAAGCCCAUCCACUUCUUCGCUUCCGGCCCAAUGGCCCGAUGUGAGCAGCCUCCCAAACCCCCUUGUUCCUGUUGGGCCAGCUAGUUUCGGCCCAACUCUUGUUUUUUUAUAGGACGAAUUUCUCUAUUUGCAGAAAAACUGCAUAUUGACAUAUUGGACCCCGAACUUCAUGCAUUUAAUAUCUCACAAACUAUGCAUCAUAUGUAAAAACUUUAUAUGUGAAAAAUGCUGAGUUUUUUGUGUAC